rnacentral:rRNA from 1 species
GAUGAACGCUGGCGGCGUGCUUAACACAUGCAAGUCGAACGGAAAGGCUCUUGCUUGCAGGGCUACUCGAGUGGCGAACGGGUGCGUAACACGUGGGUGAUCUGCCCUGCCCUUCGGGAUAAGCCUGGGAAACUGGGUCUACUACCGGUUAGGACCACAUUUUGGAUGGUGUGGUUGCAAGUUUUUCGGUGUGGGCUGAGGUCGCGAGCUAUCAGGUUGUUGGUGGGGUAAUGGCAUACCAAGGCGUCGACGGGUAGCCGGCCUAAGAGGAUGGACGGCCACAUUGGGACCGUGAUACGGCCCAGACUCGUACAGGAGGCAGAAGGGGGGAAUAUUGCACAAUGGACGCAAGCCUGAGGCAGCGACGCCGCGGGGGGGAUGACGGCCGUCGGGUGGGAAGCACCGCUCACAAGGGACGAGGCAUGUUUGUGACGGUACCUAGAGAAAAAGCACCGGCUAACUACGUG